rnacentral:sRNA from 1 species
ACGUUUUGCCUGUGUAUGCGUCACGGGAGGUCUUUGCCUGCUUAACAUGCCAUCCGUCCAUCCAUCGCCAUUAUCACCAUUGCAGAUGAUGGUAGAAUCCGAUUUACACGUGCCAUCAAAAGUGCUGCACUCUGCUAUAUGUAUGUAUUUAACGAAUCGUAUAAUUCAUUGAGAAUAGCCCGAGGCGCACCUCUAAGUGUUCAACGAGCGCUCCGGGUAAUCAAUUCAAGAAAUUAUAUGACCACCGUCGGUGGCCUCAACGACCGCAUUCCGGAUCACGACCCGGAAAAAGAGUACGAAGCAGUAGUAAGCUACUACAGAAUUGCAGAUGAGUCUCACUGCGUCUCUCGAAAGUCUUCUCACACUCGCACUCUACUUAACCAUUCGGUGUGCAGUGCGAACCGAUUAUACUGAUGAGUGAAGACAGGAUGAAUAUCUGCAAGCUGGUCCUGGCAUAACGACAUAAACGAGUUCAAACAUACUAAAUCGACAUAUAAAUGGAGAGAGAAAAAUGAAUAGAGAGAACUGCUGGUCCGAUUUGGCUCAAAUUUUGUUCGACUGUUCGCAUUUGCCAGUCUGUCGCUGCAGAUGAGCGUCUAGAUAUCAGAGCAUCCGUCACAAGUGUAUUUACGCCCCACCCCUUCCGCCUCCACAAAGGAUGAAAAUCUGUGAUAUCCACAAUUUUGAAGAUACGAGAAAACUGCAAACGCAAAAUCGUUAGAAAACAACCGUAUCUAGACCAUGCCAGACCAUGGACUGGAUCAGAUCGGAUUAUUAUAGCCAGAAAGAACCAAUCAGUUUGCAGUGGCUACGCAACGCGGUCCAAGCGCU